CCUACGGGUGGCAGCAGUGAGGAAUAUUGGUCAAUGGACGAGAGUCUGAACCAGCCAAGUAGCGUGAAGGAUGACUGCCCUAUGGGUCGUAAACUUCUUUUAUAAAGGAAUAAAACGCUGCACGUGUGCCUUUUUGCAUGUACUGUACGAAUAAGGAUCGGCUAAUUCCGUGCCAGCAGCCGCGGUAAUACGGAGGAUCCGAGCGUUAUCCGGAUUUAUUGGGUUUAAAGGGAGCGUAGAUGGGCUGUUAAGUCAGUUGGGAAAUUCUGCGGCUUAACCGUAGAAUUGCAGUUGAAACUGGACGGCUUGAGUACAGUUCAGGCAGGCGGAAUUCGUGGUGUAGCGGUGAAAUGCUUAGAUAUCACGAAGAACCCCGAUUGCGAAGGCAGCCUGCUAAGGUGCGACUGACAUUGAUGCUCGAAAGUGUGGGUAUCAAACAGGAUUAGAUACCCCUGUAGUC
rnacentral:rRNA from 1 species